rnacentral:rRNA from 1 species
CAGCAGCCGCGGUAAUACGUAGGGUGCGAGCGUUGUCCGGAAUCACUGGGCGUAAAGAGCUCGUAGGUGGUUUGUUGCGUCGUCUGUGAAAUUCCGGGGCUUAACUUCGGGGUGGCAGGCGAUACGGGCAUAACUAGAGUGCUGUAGGGGAGACUGGAAUUCCUGGUGUAGCGGUGGAAUGCGCAGAUAUCAGGAGGAACACCGAUGGCGAAGGCAGGUCUCUGGGCAGUAACUGACGCUGAGGAGCGAAAGCAUGGGGAGCGAACAGGAUUAGAUACCCUGGUAGUCCAUGCUGUAAACGGUGGGCGUUAGGUGUGGGGACCGGUUUGGUUUCUGUGCCGUAGCUAACGCAUUAAGCGCCCCGCCUGGGGAGUACGGCCGCAAGGCUAAAACUCAAAGGAAUUGACGGGGGCCCGCACAAG